GGAGCUCAGAUCUACCUCCUGGCUGAA
rnacentral:misc_RNA from 1 species